GACCUGGUAGUGUAUGGUAACACACCUGUUGCACAUGAGUCAUGACGCAGUGCCAGAUUAUUCGGCAGGAGAGCCCCGUUCGAUUCGGGGCCAGGUCA